rnacentral:ncRNA from 1 species
AUAAAAAUUUAUGUUUUAAAAAAUCUAUUAUAAAUUUAUUUUACAUAUAAAUUUUAGUAUGAAAUUUUAAUUAUUUAAAAAAUAAUAAUAAAAUAAUUGUAGUAAUUAAAAUUAAAAAUUUAAGAAAUUAAGAUUUAGUAAUAUAUAAAUUAAUAACUAAUUUUGUGCCAGCAGUUGCGGUUAUACAAAAAUUAAAUUAAAUUAUUUCAGGUUUAUAAUAAAUAAAAUAUAAAAUUAAAAUAAAUAUUAAAUUAUUAGGUAAAAUUUUAAUUUAAUUAAAUUUUAAAAUAAUUUUAUGAUUUAGUAAAUUUAAAAAUAAACUAGGAUUAGAUACCCUAUUAUUAAAAAUUUAAUUUAUAAUACUAAAAUAGUAGAUAAAAAAUAUUGAAACUUAAAUAAUAUGGCGGUAUUUUAGUUCAUUUAGAGGAAUCUGUUUAAUAAUUGAUAGUCCCCGAAUAAAUUUACUUAAUUUAAAAUUUUAUAUAUCGUUGUUAAAAAAAUAUUUUUUAAUAAAAAUAAUAUUUAAAAAUUAAAAUAAAAAAUUAAUUCAGAUCAAGAUGUAAAGUAUAAUUAAGAAUAUAAUGGAUUACAAUAAAAUAAUUUAAUAUGAAUAAUUAAUUUAAAAAUUAAUUUGAAGGUGGAUUUAAAUGUAAUUUUAAUUAAUUUAUUAAAAUGAUUAAAAAUUAAAAUAUGUACAUAUUGCCCGUCACUUUCAUUUAAAAGUUGGAAUAAGUCGUAACAAAGUAGAGGUACUGGAAAGUGUUUCUAGAAUGAA